UACGUAGGGUGCAAGCGUUAAUCGGAAUUACUGGGCGUAAAGCGUGCGCAGGCGGUUCUGAAAGUCAGCUGUGAAAGCCCCGGGCUUAACCUGGGAAUUGCGGUUGAAACUACAGGGCUAGAAUCUGGCAGAGGGGGGGUGGAAUUCCGACGUGUAGCAGUGGAAAAUGCGUAGAGAUGUGGAGGAACACCGAUGGCGAAGGCAGCCCCCUGGGCUGAGAUUGACGCUCAUGCACGAAAGCGUGGGGAGCAAACAGG
rnacentral:rRNA from 1 species